GGCCAAAACAAGAACAAAGGAAGAAAAGAAGAACACAAACCCUAGGUGGAAAAAUUCAAGGGAAAAGUGUGAAAAUUCAAGUAAUCAAGCAAUCAAAGGUAAAAUUUCUUGAUUUUGACUUGUGAUCUACCUUUCCCAUGCAUUAUUUUGCGUUUUCCAUGGUUGAAUCACAUGAUUUCAUGAUGGGUAUUUUGCUGGCUGAACACUUAGAGAGAGGUUUUGAUGCUUGAUUUGGUUAGAUUUUAAGAUAUUUUAGUGUUUUUAGUUAGUUAGUGAUGUGUAGCAUGAAAAGCCAACAAGAAAAUUCAUUUUCUCCCAUCACCCAUCAUUGGCCGAAUUCUCCAUGUGGAAUAUUGAGGAUGAUUUUGAUUUUAUUUCAAGUGAUUUGGUUAGGAAUUAGUGAUUUAUGGUGUGAGAAUCAAGUAGGAAAAAUUAUAGUGUUGUUGCACCCACCAUGGCCGAAUUUUCCAAGAGAAAAUGUGAGGAUGAUUUUGCCAUAUUUCAAGUUAUUUAAUUUGUGUUUGAUGAUUUGGAGUAUUGAGAGAAAAAUGAAAUUAUUUGGAGUUGAAUUGGACGUAUUGACCAAUUAAUCGAGUGAUAGAUCGAAUUAGGUCAAUACUGUUUAAUUUAGAUACACAAUUGAAUUUGUGUAGAACACCGUGUUUAGACAAUAAUCCGAACAAUUUGCAUCCCAUUUCAUACACUAGUAUAAAGCCUGAAUUGGUUUUAUAACAAUUUAGCACAAUGUAGUAAAUGGCUUAUUGUGCAUUAUGUCUAGGUGGUGAGCAUUCUGACAAAAGCAAAGAGAUAGUACCUGAGGAUCAAGAAUUUGAGUACUUGGAAUUUGACUCCCCAAAUAGUGAGUAACCUUACUAUCGUCUUAAUUAUCUAAAGUAUGUUUUAUUUGAUUUUGUGAAUUUUAUGGAAAAUGAAUUAAAUGAUUAAUUUUUUGGUUUUAUAAACCAAAUGUGAUUUAGUGAAAUGAUUUCAUAAAAUUGUUUUAAAAUUGAAUGAUGGUUUGAAAAUAGAGUAAUUGGAGACUGUUUUUAUGUGUUGUAAAUUCAUGAUUCUAAUUGAUUGGCUUAUGGCAAUAUUGGCAUGAAUGGUUGAUUUGAUAAAUGUGUUGAAAAUGUAUAAAUUGUUGAUUUUCCUUGAAAGGCUGUAAAAUAAAAUAAAAUAAUUGCCAUGUCAUGCUUUUGUAAAUUUUAUUGUAUGGUGGGUUUAACUUGCUGCAGUGGGCGGGUUUUCUAUGGACUAACCUAUUAGAGGGGCACGAAAUCCCAUUAUAUUUUACGUCGGUUGGAGAGGUGAGUAGGGUAACUCCCGAGGUAUAACUUUAGAGUUCACUUCACGUCAAACCACCACGUGAGGGUAAACUCAGCCAACGCCAAGGAACGACUAUAUUUUUAAAAUAAAAACAUGAUUUAUGCAUACAUAACUUUUUAACAGCCUUGGCAGACUAGGUUGGGAUAGCCCUCGAUCAAGGCAUCCCUGAUAACUGGGUAUGAGAAUGAUUUUGGCACGAGCCAAAGUUUUAAGAAAUUCAUAAACCAUGUUGAUUACUCGAUUUAUAUGAAUUGAUUUUAUUUGGUUGAAACAAGUUGAAAGGUGAUGAAUUACAAUAUGUUAACUAUUUUAUCUGUCUCCAUUUACUCGGCUUUAGAUAUUUUAGAUGGUAUUUGUUUACUCAUUGGGAUUAUAUAAUCUCAC
rnacentral:lncRNA from 1 species